GAUGGCGGCGGGUUCAAGUGAGUGUGGCGCACAGAAGCCCGGGUGUGGCGCGUGCCAUGACUUCAGAUGCUGCGUUCCCUCUUCAGAACUAGAGUCACAUGACUGACACCCACGUUCAUCCUCUUCUAGGAAGAAAACUGCUGUCCUGAUGGAAGAGAACUUGGUGAAUUCAGAACCACAACUGUCAACGUUCAAUCAGUGUGGAGAACGGUUCUGCUCUAGUGAAGCUGGGGAACACCAUAGUCAUUUCUGGAGUUAAAGCACUCCUGCAUUUAUGGCUUGUUAUCCUCGCUGAAGAAGGACUGAAAGAUUGUAAGAGCCAGAAUACAGUGAAGCCUACCGUGAAUGUCUCUUCUACAAAGGGCUGUAUAAAGAAGGCCAGAGAUAUUAAUGGAAAUAUCAUGCUGCCAAGGCAGGGGAACAAUUGCACCUGGUUCCACCCCUAAGACAAAAUCACAGGCAACCAAUGGCUGCUGGAAGAUGAAUUAGCAUUUCUCAGUGAUAAGGCCUCCUUUUGGGCCAUACAGUCUUACAUAUUAUGCCUCCAAACCACACUGCAUACAAACACCUAAACCAGACGCAGCAGGUUUUAUGUGUGUUUGUGCAUUCAUGUGCAUGAGUCUGUGUGUUAUUCACAUACACAUACAUAUGUUUAUAUAACAACACUAAUCAAAUAAACU